UUUUCUGAUUUCAAGUUAUUUUCGUCAUCAGACCGAGCGAGCUAAACGUCGUUGGUUCUUCGAUCUGCCGAUUUGCAGAUUUAAGCGAUAAUACGAGAUCCGAAGGCUACACAAGCCUUCCUCCACUUAAUCUGUAAUCAUGCCUCUCAGACUCGAGAUCAAGAGAAAAUUAGCUCAAAGGUCCGAGAGAGUAANAU